ACCAUUUUAAGGUCUGGACAUCUACUCUAUUCUGUAAGACCCCGAAAGAAACGAUCAGAUACGCUAGAUACCGGCUAAUAUAGAUGGACAUAUAUACGCUAUCACCUGUAAAGGAGCGCGACUACGACGACGACGACGACGUCAGUAGUAAUUUGCAAUCGAAAUUAAACAAAAGUCACGAGAAGGUCUUAAAAAAAAUGAAGUAUCUACAUCGAACUUAGUCACAAAAACUAAUAUACAACUUCCAGUAUAGGUAUACCUAUCUUAGCUGUGUAUACUGCAUAUCGCGUAGGUAUGUCGUUCAAAAGUAGGUAUGUAUAUACGUUCUACGUACGAGUACGACAUUACGACAAUAAAAAUAGGGCCUCGGAUGGCAUUUAUUUUGCAUUUUGCGUACCUAAUAAACGUCAUCUGUUUCUCUAAUAACGAAUACCUAUAAAUUUGCUUUUUUGCCGGGGUGUUGCCGCGUGCUAGUGACGUAAAAUUCCAAAGUUACGCCUUUGCCCUCGGUUUCCAAGACGACCGCGAAACUUUGACGCCCAUUUUAGCUCGGUUGUGUUUUAAAGCUGUGAUUUGUCGUUGCUUUCGGUGCUCGUAAUGUGAAAAAAUUUUCCCAAUUAUCAGUUACUUCUGAAACAGUAGCCACGAAUGACGGAUGACUUUGGAUGCCACCCGAAAAUUUAAUCAAGCGAACGUUGAAAUUUUCUCAUAAAUUACUGAAAUGCGGUUCGAAACGUAAAAUGAAGAACAUGCUGAAAAAAAUAUUCUGUUAUUGGAAACAAUUGAAGUAAAAUAUUCUCAAAUAUGGCGAUUACAGUUUUCCUGCAUUCGUAUUCGUUCCACAAAAAGAAGAUAAAGAAGUACGUUUGAUGAAAUCGUACUUUGCUGCGAUUUUAUUGCGAGUUAAUUAUUAAGUCGUUUCGUUUACUCAAAUAUGGAUCUAUUUUUGAUGCAAAGAUGAAGAAAAAAACAGAGAAAAUUACUCAUUUGAUGGAAUUAAAGCAGGUAAAUCCUGCUCUAUCGUGUGAAGAAACCCGAAAAUUGUCUGUUGUAUCGAUGGCAUUCUGAAAAAAAUGAAGUGCUGCGCAUCGAGUUGUUUUUUUUUUUAUAUUUUUCAUUUUAUUAAAUUGUACGAAAUGUUGAAAAUUCGUCAUGAUCUCCCAACUUGUGCGACCUUUGUUUGUUUUUUCAUUAUGUUAUUGGAUUUCUUAAAAAAUAAUGAAAAUGUUUAUCAUAAAUUUGUGGUUAUUUGUAGGUACUUAUACUCGUAUUUGUCUCUCUCUCGGGUCGAUGCAAUUAGUUGAUUUAUAAAAUUCACGUUUGUAUAUGUUAUUUAGACAUAUCAUUAAAAUAGAUCGAUAUUAUAAUAAUGUAAUUUGGUAAUUUAGUACUUAUAUAAGGUUAAUAAUGAGCAACAAAGUCACUGUCUUCCAAUUAUUGCCUUAAAUUUUAAGUCUCGAUUGAAUUUAUUCGAAUGCGUAUGAUGUACAAUUUUUUUACCUAUUUAUUUAGGAAUAAUUUAUUUUAUAGGGUUAUAUUUUUAUGAUUUAAAGUUUAAUUAAUUUAUCGAUUUGAAAAAAAAAGGAAUACGUGUAUCAAAAAGCAAUACAGUCGUUGUACAUGUGUAAUGAAUUACGUUAUCAUAUCAGUCAUAUUUUAAUAAUACUUUAUUGUUUAUCUAUUGAUAAUUUUUAGGUGCUAUUUUACGAACAAAACUCUCCUCUUCCUUAACAGUCGAAUGACCUCUCUCGGUUAAUUAUUUUAUUUUGAUUAUAAGUCGAUCUUAAGAGUUAUUGUUUAAGAUUAUUUAUAUGGUCAAAAGUGUGAUAUGGUGGUCAAGAGUGUAUGUUUGUGAGUUAUUAUUUUUACUUUUAGUUUUAUUAUACGUAACACUUACCUGAAUAUUUUUAUCGAAUUACUUUUUAUCAGUCUGCAUGAUGAGGUUAUCGAAUGACAAAAAUUUACACACCGGAAGAUACAUUAUUAUAAGCAUACAUGGAAGGAAAAAAAAAAGAAAAAGAGGAAACGUAAUGAUUUUUCUUUAUUUAUUCACUCUUAUACCUAUAUCUGACAAUAUUUGGGAACAAUCUGCAUUUACCUACCUAUUUAAAAAUAUUCGAACGGAGAUGAUACCUAAUUAUUACUAAUUUUUGUAAUGAUUCUGUACGAUUAGAAUUCAUACCUAAUUACCUAAUUUUAUCCUAUAAAUUUUUACGUACAUACGUCGUUUUUUGUUGUGACAUCCGACAAUAACGUUCUUAGAUUAUGGAAAAUAGAAAUACGAUACAGUAUUGUCACGUUUUUUAAUUUUAACUUGGCAAUUUUUAACUUAUAUAAAUAGCCUAUCUACUCGUUGCGGCGACGAUACGAAAUAUUAACGAACGGAAAUUACUAUUUUAUUGCUUUUCCUGUUUAAUGUGAAAUUUAUAAAGGAUUUGUCUGUUUCAAGUUGAGCGAAAAAAAAAAAGGUACUUACUCUUAUAAAUAAUUUAUAAGGGUAUGUUAUACAUUGUUAUAUGUUUACUAAGCGCAAUUGUAACGUUAUUGGGUUAAUUUUAACAACUAUAAGUGUUUUUAUUGCAUAAGCUUUAUAAGGGUUGGUGUUGUUUAUUAUUAUUAUGUUGGGUGUUUUAUUUAUUUUUUUGUACUAUUUUGAUUAUUUUUAUUAAUGGUUUGUUUAGAUGAUGAAGGUGUUCGUGAUGAUUUUUUUUUUUUUUUUGAAUAUGGUUUAAUAUGGAAUAUUGAAAGAAUUUGGAUGAUGUUGGGUGUAUUUUUAUGGAUUACCUGUUUAUUUGAGUUAAGUUGUUGUAUUUUUAUUUUUUGAUGUGCGGUAAGGUGUUUGUAAUAAAGAUUGUUUUUCGUUGGGUUA